UAGUAAAUUUAUGCAGAAACUGUGGAGAGUCCCAAGUUAAAUAAAGCUGCCAGGUUGGAGUUACUCGGCUUCUUAAAAAGAGGGUCACUAGCCUAGGCGCCCUGUAGCCUCCCUGCCCAGCUGCUUCUCUUUGUUUGUUUUUGUUUUUGUCUUUCUGACUUUUCUAGGGCUGCUCCUGUGGCAUAGGGACAUUCCCAGGCCAGGGGUCUAAUCGGAGUUGUAGCCACCGGCCUUCUCCAGAGCCACAGCAACGCCGGAUCCGAGCCAUGUCUGCGACCCACACCACAGCUCAUGGCAACGCCGGAUCCUCAACCCCCUGAGCAAGGCCAGGGAUAGAACCUGCAACCUCAUGGUUUCUAGUUGGAUGUGUUAGCCACGGAGCCAUGACGGGAACUCCCUCUUUGUUUUGGGAAGUGUUUUCCGACCCCCUUAGCUUACAUUGCUAAGCCGGACAGUCUGACAGUGAGGGUUGCGGCAUAAACUACAUGUUUCUGAGCAAAGAACGGUUAGCGAUCACCACUUACUUCUUGGUGUGAUCUUCUGAAACUCCAGAAAGGGAAAAGCAGGCUAUCUUCUCCUUUACUUUCUCUGGAACGUUUCCCAGAGAAAUUAAUGUUCACUUCUGCUUUUCAGUGGAGAUUAUUUUAAAAAAGAAGAAGAGGCCAAGAAAAGGUGCCAAUACAUACAAUUUGGGAGACGAGUCAGGUGCAUUCCAGAUGGCGGGGAACUUGGCUGAUGGACUUGCCAGGGGGAAAUCCACCCGGCUGAAUAGCCAUAGCACAACCACCUUUGAUCUGCCAAAGGUUUCUACAGCAAAGCAAGCCAGUGCGUAUAACGAAGCCAUCUAAUGAGAAAGUAGUUCCUGAUGCGGGGCCCCUCCCUCCAAAUACAAUACGAUAAAAGGAGAGAGACAUGGUUUAUGGUGAAGUUACCGCUGGGACCAAGUACAGUGCAGAUCACCGCCAAGACAAUAAUUGUCAGAGGCUUGGAGACCUGAAUAUAUAACUCCUUGGCACCGUCUAAGGAACCACAGCAGUUUCUAAAUUUUCACAAAACCAGACACAGCAAUGGGGAGGAUGGCUCCUUGGGGAUGCCGUUAGGAAUCUGAGACUUUUGGCAGCGUUUGCUGCAACUGGCCAACGUGUGGAUGGCCGUAUAGGACUGGUAGACGCUGGGGAGAAUCAAUUCUGGAUUUCUUUAAAAGGAGAGGCAAGGAGUCUAAGGCUGAAGGGAAUGGAAAUCAUCUCUGGCUUCUACAAAGCAACCAGUCUUUUAUUUCAGCUUCUCUUGUAACUGGAGAGAACCUGUCACUCCACAAAAAUUAGGGAGUUCCCAUUGUGGCAGAGCGGAAACAAAUCCGCUAGUAUCCAUGAGGAUGCGGGUCCAAUCCCUGGCCCCACGCAGUGGGUGAGGGAGCCAGCGUUGCCCGUGAGCUGUGGUGUAGGUCAGAGUUGCGGCUCGGAUCUGGUGUUGGUGUGGUUGUGGUGUAGGCCUGCGGCUACAGCUCCAGUUCCAUCCCUAGCCUGGGAAGCUCCGUAUGCCUCAGGUGCGGUGCUAAAAAGCAAAAGAAAACAACAACAGCAAAAACCCAAAUGGGGAGUCUUCAGGGUUCCAUGUAGGUUUCUAGGUCAAAAUACAAGGAUGAGAGAGACGUGUCCCUGUCUUCGGUUGCAGGGGGGAGAAGGGCUCCCUGGGUACCAGUGCUGUCGUGAGGGCUCGGGCUCCCACGCGGAGUAAAACUCCCGAGAGAAGACGGAGGGCCGGGCUCCCGUUUCUCCUCCCGUGUGGUUUUUCAUCUCGUGGAAUUGUUUGUCUCCAGCCUCAGAGACAGUAAAUUUCCGCCGACACGCCGACAGCCCUCGCGGAACAUCUGCAUAACGAUGGGAUUUAUUCUGCUCAUUAUGACUCUGCUGCGGAGCGCGGCCCUAUUUCACUCCUGCAGACGAGCCGCGCUUCUGUAAAUCAUCCCGCGGGCUCUUCGGGCGAAUGGCCGGCCGUCUUGGGAGAAACUGGCACAUCAUCUCCGAGUUGUCUCGGCGUCUUCAUUUGGGUUAUUUCUGUGUCAUAAAAGUUAUGGCAUAUCAGACAGAAGAAGGAUCAAGAAAGCCUCUGAUAAAUACUUUUCAACAAGCUCGAGACAAACCUAAUAACAGAGCCACCGAGGCUUCAAAGUAGACUCUAAAUGCUUCCCCGCGCCACGCACUCCAAGGCGGCUGCGCCUCUCUCUGGAAAUCAGGCCCCUUUUCUGCUCCAGGCACUCUGCUCAGUGUGGAGUGAUGGGAAUUUCAUCUUGCUCGCUGGAUAAGCUGUCCAGCUCGGAGAUGAGUUUUGUGUUCCUCAGAAUGCCUCUCCCCUUUGAGUUUUGAGAACAUAACCAAUAUGCACAGAAGCAGCCCUUAAGUGCAAAGACCAACAGAGACCACGAGUUUCUGGACAAAAGACACCCCACUCCGGAGUGCCUUCAGCUGUCCGCCAUCACUCAAGGCCUCACAGACUAUUUUCCUCCCCCUCUUGCUCUCAUUUAUCUUCCUUUCAGGAUUUGGCACAAAACCCCCAGGCCUGCAGCUGGCAGUUGAUCUAAGGUUCAGGCUAUUUUCUGAAGGGUCUUCCAGUGUUGCAUUAUGGAAACACACAGCCCCGUGGAGGGAAGGAGAAUGUUUGGCCAAGAGGGAGCUGGGCUUUGGGAAGAGGGUGAGAGGAGACAUGUGUUGCUCAGGGUGCUUCAGAGAACCAGAAUCGGCAGGAUGCACCUGUAUCUGCGUCUGUAGGUGAAUAUACACAUCUCUAUAGAGAAUAGAUUUAUUAUUUGAAAAAUGGCUCGUGUGAUAAUGAAGGCAGGCCAAUCCCAGGAUCUGCAGGGUGCGUUGGCAAGCUGCAUCUGGGCGAGCUGAUGGUAGUAGCAUUCCAGUCUUAGUCCGACACCCUGAGCCAAGAGAACACACCAUGGUUCCAUUCUGAAGGCCAGCAGACUCAAGACCCAGGAAGAGGCCGUGUGUCAGUUUGAGUCUGAACGUUGAACAAAGCCACUGGCCCAGUUUGAAGGCAGUCAGAUAGGAAAGAAUUCUCACUUACUCAGAGGAGGGUCCACUUUUUGUUCUCUUCAGGCCUUCAACUGAUUGGAUGAGGCCCACCCACUCCAGGAGGGCAGUCUGCUUUCCCCAGUCUGUCAGUUCAAAAGCUGAUCGCAUCCCCAAAACACUCUCAUAGAAACACCUAGAAAAAUGUCUGGCCAAGUAUCUGAGCCCUCAGGGGUCCAGUCAAGCUAAAAUUUAGCACUGACCACCAAGAGAGUGAUACGAAAUGAGACCCCAGGAAGCAUGCUCUGCCUGGGUCUUAUUUACCUGUGCCACCUUGGGAGUGGGUCCAAGACCAUGAUGCAUCAGGGAGAUGGUUGUCUCUCUGACGAAGUGAUAGUGGCAGAGGAUCAUGCUGCCACCACCACCCCUCUGUCCCCACCACAAAUAGCAAAGCUCUUGGCAUGAAAGACUUGUUUUCUUAAGGAAGUUUUCAGACCGUGGGAUUAUUUGUUCCUGUGGUCUCCGGGGUCUAGGACAAGGGUGGGAAUGGCCCCCAAGGAAAGGCAGGGAACAAGGAGUCUUGCCUUCGUCGGUGAGUGUCACUGUCUGCACGGCCGUUCAUCCGCUGUGCACUGUGGCUGCUUCGUGUUCAUUGGGCAAUGCCCAGUGCCACAGAGACCUCCACUGAGGCCUCCGGGCCAUGAAGCGUGAAGGCGGGUUCUCUCCGGGAGCCACCCUGCUGGAGCUGGAGCAAGACCUGCCCCCUUCCAGGUGUCUCCGAGCACAGCCGUGUCUGCCACCUUUGGUGACUUUGCCUCCCCCAGCCUGCUCUCCGUCCCUUCUCUUCCCAGCCUCUGAAAGCCCCUCUUUAGGGCGAGUCCUGCCUGCCUGUUCAACGUGGAAGAUGAAGUCCCCGGGCUAAGCCUUGACUUGCUAAGCAAAACUUUGGCUGCCCCGUUAUCUUUAAAUGCACCCCCUGAAACACAGGUGAAUUUAUUCACGCCCCUGGGGGCAAGGAAGUCCACAACUCAAGUUCUCCGAGACCCCAGAAAAUUCACAAAAAAAGGAAUGGAGGUGAGGGCAAAGGUUAGGGAGGGCAGAGGGUAGGAAAAAAAGAGCAAAAGAGUGCAGACUCCUUUCUGAAAUUGCAAAGGUGGAGACCAACAAUAAUAACCAUAAUUAUACCCAUAUCCUGUCAUUAUUUCUCAAUUUCAUCCUGUUAUCAUCUUCCAUAUAGUAGAUACAAUACUCAGUUGCUUUUUUCUAUUUCUCCUUGAAUUGUCCUAACUUUGUAAGGAUUUCCCCUGUAUUCCAGAUAAGGCAAGGGAGAGAAGGUACAUUUUUCACUCCAGGCGCUGUGCUGGGUACUUUAGGUAUCUUUCCAUUACAAUUUUCCCCCAGACGUAGGUCACAUUUUAUGUCCACUUCACAGAGGAGACAUCUAAGGAGCAACCUGUUGAGGACUGAUGCCAAAAGCUUAGAGCUGUCCAUUUGGCCGGCACGAGAGGAAGGGCUUCCAAACGCUGUGUCGAAAAAUCAGGCCACCCCCCCAGCUGCAUGGGAGGUCACCUCUAGGCUAAGGCACCCUGGAUCGUCCACUCUGCCCCUGGGUAUUCUUCUGGAAGUUUCUCUGAAUCCGAAGCCCUGAGGCCUAUGGGGUUUAUUGGGAGGAAGGAAGGAGGGGAGGGAGGAUUAAGGUCACCAUAGCGCAGCGACACUGUAACCGUAACACAGCGACACUGUGCUUAUUAAGAAGAUACAACUAGAAGGCAAAUGAAUGCUAAAUGAGAAAUUUUAUUUUCAGUUCUCACUUCUGUCUGCUGGACCGUUCUGCUCUCCCUAUAGUGUAGCAAUGAUAAUAUAUAUAUAUAUAUAAAAAAACCCUGCAUAAUUUCUUUUCAUCAUCUCUAAACACUGUUUAUUGAGUAUCUAAGCGGAUGGGCUAGUUGCGUGGAAAGACAUGAAAUCGGCCGACUGACAAAUUCACAGCACGCGUUGAGGCUGGGGCCUCGGGUGCCUGGAUGCAAAGCCACACGUUUUAAAAUGACAGGUAUUUAGGAAUUCCUUCCCUGGAGCCCUCUGUCCCCUGC
rnacentral:lncRNA from 1 species